GUCUCGUGUGUUCUACUCACUGGCAUCCCUGCCUGGACUGGGAAAAAGUCAUCACCCUCUGCCCAAGCCCUGUGCAGCUUGGCCCACCUGAGCCUCUUGCUACUGAAAUGACUCUCCUUCCCUUAUAUCACCAGAAGAGAUGGGUCCACCUAGAGGAAGGAGCAAAACAGGAGUUAAACUGCAGAGCAUGAUCAAGAGUCGGUCUCACUCACCCUGAUUCGGGAAGUUGGAUUCCACCACUCUGUGGUUCAGGGGCUGGGUCCUGCGGUAAUCGUUGUGGAUGGUCUUGUUGCGGUGAUCCAGUAAGGAAUUCUCCAGCUUCCAAACCUGGGGGCAACCUGAUCAUGGUUGUGUGCACCUGUAAUCCCAGCUACUCAGGAGGCUGAGGCAGGAGAAUCGCUUGAACCUGGGAGGCAGAGGCUGCAGUAAGCCAGUAUCACGCAACCGCACUCCAGCCUGGGAGACAGAGAGAAACUCUGUCUCAAAAAAAAUAAAAAAUAAAAAAGAAUUAACAACUGGGCUAGAGUUUGGAUUUAUAUAACCCUGAUGAAGUGACUGUAAGAAGAUCUCAAGUCCAGGGGAGGUUCUGGGUGCUGUGUCUCAGGCAUUAUUCCAGAACUAAUCUAUCCGUGCAUUCUUCCAACAGGUAUCUGCACACAAGCUCUCUUUUCAGCUUUUUAUAUGAGUAUUUGUCCAGUAGUAGAAAGGAGAGAAAGAAGAAGCAGAAAUAUAUCAAGUGGCAAACUCAAUUUUUGUUUUUCUGAAAAUGUCAGGUUUUUCU
rnacentral:lncRNA from 1 species